CCUUACAAGAAGUCACUUACAAUCCUCUCAUCCUGUGAUCAUCUGUAGAAGCAUUGUCUCUUCUGUGUUUGUCUUACCUGCUUUCUGGAACUGUUCUUCACCAGACUCGAACCUCGUCAUCACAGUCUACUCCUACAUACAUGUCUAGCCACUGGGCAAACAAAUCAGAAAAGCCAUACACACAGAGGAGUGUGAUGCUCUUGGCGCAGCGGCUGACGGGCUCUGCAGGGGUCUCGGGGCCUGACGGGUCGGGUUCAGGCUCUCCGUCUGAUGCUUUCGGAGGAUCCGCAGCAGUGUCUUUACGUCUCUUCAGCCUGGAGGAGUCGCUGAUG